AUAUCUGUGAGUCAAUUUGCGUUUUCAACAAGUAAAAUCAUAUUUUUUUAGGUUAGUUGCUAGUUUUUCUUUUGAGUUUAUUUAUUUUUUCCUUUUGUCUUUCACAAAUUAUUUCGGUUAUGAUUUUCAAUACUAUAUAAAAAUAAGCAUAGUUUUUAAGCUUUGCGUAGGACUCCAUCAACAUCUGCCAGGGUUGAAAGAAGCUCCCCGACAGUCGAUCUACGAUAUUCGAUAACAUCGAUCAACCUGUCUUUCUUCAAAUCUUUUGAUGAUUCCUCCUUACUUCGCCAAA